rnacentral:rRNA from 1 species
UACGUAGGGACCAAGCGUUGUCCGGAAUCACUGGGCGUAAAGGGCGUGUAGGCGGGAAGGAAAGUCAGAUGUGAAAUCCCUGGGCUCAACCCAGGAACUGCAUUUGAAACUCCCUUUCUUGAGUGUCGGAGAGGAAAGUGGAAUUCCUGGUGUAGAGGUGAAAUUCGUAGAUAUCAGGAGGAACACCGGUGGCGAAGGCGGCUUUCUGGACGACAACUGACGCUGAGACGCGAAAGCGUGGGGAGCAAACAGG